CACGCAGGCGGUCUGUUAAGUCAGAUGUGAAAUCCCCGGGCUUAACCUGGGAACUGCAUUUGAAACUGGUAGACUUGAGUGUGAUUGAGGUAGCUGGAAUGGAUAGUGUAGCGGUGAAAUGCAUAGAUAUUAUCCAGAACACCGAUUGCGAAGGCAGGUUACUAAGUCAUAACUGACGCUGAGGCACGAAAGUGUGGGGAUCAAACAGGAUUAGAUACCCCUGUA
rnacentral:rRNA from 1 species